GCUAAGGCAAUAUCAACGCUACCCUCUCCUCCCGCAUGCUCUGUGAACCAGGGACUUCCUCUGCGAAGCUCCUUCUCUCUCGCUCGCGUUCGGCUCUCCUGGCGGCUGACUCUCUACCUCCUCUCUCAAUAAACUUUCAGGUGCUCUCCCGCAUUCAUUCGCUUGGAGUAAUAUGUCUCUGCUGGCAUAUCAAGGAGCCGCUGAGAAACAGGAAAACCGAAGACGAAUCAGGAUUAGGGCACUGAAAUCGGGGUGGGGUGUAACUGCGCUUGUUGGGGUUUUGACUAGGAUGCGGUGUUCAAGACACACCCCAUGAAUGUGCUCAAUGAAAGGACUCUCAAAGAAACAUUCUUUGGAAACUAUAAGACACAUUAUGAUCUUCCAUCUGUUGUCGACAAAUACAUGAAGAAGGUAUACAUCACAUGGAGAAGUUCAUCACACAUUCGGUCCCAUUCUCAGAGAUCAAUAAGGCUUUUGAAUACAUGCUCAAAGGAGACGACAUUUGCUGCAUCAUUUGAAUGAAACUUGAAGAAGCAAAAAGAAAAAUAUUACUUGUUGUUUGAGUUAGCUCAAUUGGGCUACCUUUAUUGAAGCUUCAUUUGUAUCAUAUUUUUUCCUAUUUUAUAAGGUGUUUAACCUCUUUGUAUCUUUCUAGUGGUUUGUAAAUGAUCGUAAUUGAUCGUUGUUGGUAAUCUUUUGUUAAUGAAAUUCUCUGAUUUUUGGUAUUA